CUGAGUCUAAGGCCCAGGACUGGCAAACAAACAAACAAACAAACAAACACAAAAAACUAAUACAGAAACUUGUCUUCCUCUAGUCUUGGUUGAAAUCCUUUCUUGGGCAAGCGUCCUUGAUUACCUAUGCAAACACAGUAGUUUCUCUCAAAGAUCUUGCCUAUUUUCUGUAGAGGAAAAUAGCUAUACUUACUGUUUUGUCUAUUAAUUUUUCUAUUGUCCUCACUCCUGAUAGUGAGAAAGGACUGGUUCUGUUCAAGACCCUAACAGAAGGCUUUAGGGUAUGGCACCAUUAUGAUGCUUAGUCAGCUUGGGAGAAGUUAUGUGUGGAAGUGCACUAGAGGCAAAAGAGGAGGCCCCAGGGGCUGUAUGUGUUUACUGUCACCCAUACUUAGGACUGAAAUGGAGAUACUUUGAGGAAGUGAAGGAAUUGA